UUUUUUUGCCUGUGAGGAACCUGGCUGGAGCUCCCCUCCACCUUUCAUUCUGAAUGCAAUACACAUCAACAUGCCUCCAUUCAAGCAUCUCAACAAUCUCAUCAGACCUACCUUUCAAUGUACCUAUUUUGAC